rnacentral:tRNA from 1 species
GCAUUAGUGGUUCAGUGAUAGAAUUCUCGCCUUCCCUGUGGGAGACCUGGAUUCGAUUCCCAGCAAAUGUU